rnacentral:rRNA from 1 species
AAUAUUGGACAAUGGGCGAAAGCCUGAUCCAGCCAUGCCGCGUGAGUGAUGAAGGCCCUAGGGUUGUAAAGCUCUUUCAACGGUGAAGAUAAUGACGGUAACCGUAGAAGAAGCCCCGGCUAACUUCGUGCCAGCAGCCGCGGUAAUACGAAGGGGGCUAGCGUUGUUCGGAAUUACUGGGCGUAAAGCGCACGUAGGCGGAUUGUUAAGUGAGGGGUGAAAUCCCAGGGCUCAACCCUGGAACUGCCUUUCAUACUGGCAAUCUAGAGUCCGGAAGAGGUGAGUGGAAUUCCGAGUGUAGAGGUGAAAUUCGUAGAUAUUCGGAGGAACACCAGUGGCGAAGGCGGCUCACUGGUCCGGUACUGACGCUGAGGCGCGAAAGCGUGGGGAGCAAACAGG